rnacentral:rRNA from 1 species
UACAGAGGGUGCGAGCGUUAAUCGGAAUUACUGGGCGUAAAGCGCACGUAGGCGGCUUGGUAUGUCGGGUGUGAAAUCCCCGGGCUCAACCUGGGAACUGCAUCCGAAACUGCCUUGCUAGAGUAUGGGAGAGGGAAGCGGAAUUUCCGGUGUAGCGGUGAAAUGCGUAGAUAUCGGAAGGAACAUCAGUGGCGAAGGCGGCUUCCUGGACCAAUACUGACGUUCAGGUGCGAAAGCGUGGGGAGCAAACAGG